GACGAACGCUGGCGGCGUGCUUAACACAUGCAAGUCGAACGAAGAGCGAUGGAAGCUUGCUUCUAUCAAUCUUAGUGGCGAACGGGUGAGUAACGCGUAAUCAACCUGCCCUUCAGAGGGGGACAACAGUUGGAAACGACUGCUAAUACCGCAUACGAUCUAACCUCGGCAUCGAGGAUAGAUGAAAGGUGGCCUCUACAUGUAAGCUAUCACUGAAGGAGGGGAUUGCGUCUGAUUAGCUAGUUGGAGGGGUAACGGCCCACCAAGGCGAUGAUCAGUAGCCGGUCUGAGAGGAUGAACGGCCACAUUGGGACUGGGACACGGCCCAGACUCCUACGGGAGGCAGCAGUGGGGAAUCUUCCGCAAUGGACGAAAGUCUGACGGAGCAACGCCGCGUGAGUGAUGACGGCCUUCGGGUUGUAAAGCUCUGUUAAUCGGGACGAAAGGCCUUCUUGCGAAUAGUGAGAAGGAUUGACGGUACCGGAAUAGAAAGCCACGGCUAACUACGUG
rnacentral:rRNA from 1 species